rnacentral:lncRNA from 1 species
CUCGAACACAGUCAAAUACAAUAUCAAUGGUCUUCCCGGCAUUGGUGGUACUAGCACUGGAGGACUAGACAAAUACUGUUUUAUCUUGUUAAAAGCCACUUGGCACUCCUCGUUCCAUUCUCCGGGAUUAUGUUUUCGAAGGAGUCGAAAGAUUGGGUCGCAUUGGUUGGUAAGUUGAGCGAUAAAUCGGGCGAUGUAGUUUAAUCUCCCUAAAAAUCCUCUGACUUCCUUUUGCG